UGGGGAAUAUUGCGCAAUGGGGGAAACCCUGACGCAGCGACGCCGCGUGAGCGAUGAAGGCCCUCGGGUCGUAAAGCUCUGUCAGGUGGGAAGAAAGCCUUGUCGGUUAAUACCCGGCAUGGUUGACGGUACCACCCAGAGGAAGCACCGGCUAACUCCGUGCCAGCAGCCGCGGUAAUACGGAGGGUGCAAGCGUUGUUCGGAAUUACUGGGCGUAAAGGGCGUGUAGGCGGCUUGGUAAGUCUGAAGUGAAUCCGUCGGCUCAACCGACGAACUGCUUCAGAUACUGCCUCGCUUGAGUACGGGAGAGGAAAGCGGAAUUCCCAGUGUAGAGGUGAAUUCGUAGAUAUUGGGAAGAACACCGGUGGCGAAGGCGGCUUUCUGGACCGAUACUGACGCUGAGACGCGAAGCGUGGGGAGCAACA
rnacentral:rRNA from 1 species